rnacentral:lncRNA from 1 species
CACCAACACAAAGCUUCAUCUAAACACUCACACUCUUUCUAUUCCUAUUGAUCAGUUGCUAGAAGCUAUGUCAAUACUUAGUGUCCCCACUCCCCUGCCUCCCACUUCUUGCUUUUCCUCUCAUCUGAUUUCUUUUCUGUUCCAUAAUGCCACCAAUGUAAGUUCCUGCUAAGUUGUCAAUGCCUUUCAUGCUCCUAAAUACAAUCCAGUUACCAUUUGUCUUCCCAGAAGUGUCAGAAUUGAUGGCCAUCUUGUCUGCAUCCCACAUCACCGUAUCCCUGGUACUCAGCACUAUAAUCUCUCAAAAACUAUAUGCUGGACAAAGACUGCCUACAAGACAUUGAGGAAAGUCAGGUUCAAUGACAAAUUAGCCUACAGAGAGUUAAUCACAUAGUUUCUGCACACCAAGACACACAUGGACAAAAUAUUAUGAAAAGGGAACAGCUAGUUGUCUUUCCUUGUUGAGCCCUCAGGGGACAUGAAACCAGGACUUAGACACUCACAGUUUUGUAAACAACCCAGGGAGAAGGACUCUGAUGACAAGAAAGAGGAAACAGGAAGAGCCAGCUUGGAAACAUGAAUAUCUUGCAGAAGCUUACCAAGGAAUUGGAUAUAAACAGGACAAAAAGCAAGAAAAUAUCGGAAGAAUACGAGGUGGAAAGGUGGCAUAUGGCUGGGUGGAGACUUGGCCAUGCUGCCAGACAGCAGGCACGUCCUCUAGGUUAAACUCUCACUCCUUAGCUCCAUAGUAAGCCUGUGCUUCUGUCACUAUUAUGUAAAGCUUUCUUCCUUUCUUGUUUGCCUUUUUAUAAAUUGUGAUCCUGUAGCAUAUAUACAAUACUAACACCCCUUCUUUAUCACUAGGCCUUUGUUUUCCACCUGACUCAGAGGAUCAACAGCAAAGCUCAGAAAGAAAACUGGAAAAUUUCCAACCAUUCGGUAGGUACAAACUUAGCCAUCUCUCAUUGUCAUUUCUUUUAAGAAAUACACUUUU